rnacentral:rRNA from 1 species
UACGAAGGGGGCUAGCGUUGUUCGGAAUUACUGGGCGUAAAGGGCGCGUAGGCGGCAUGGCAAGUCAGUCGUGAAAUCUCUCGGCUCAACCGAGAAACGUCGGCUGAUACUGCCGUUCUUGAGGGAUGCAGAGGAGACUGGAAUUCCCGGUGUAGCGGUGAAAUGUGUAGAGAUCGGGAGGAACACCGGUGGCGAAGGCGGGUCUCUGGGCAUUUCCUGACGCUGAGGCGCGAAAGCGUGGGGAGCAAACGGG